GGCAACCCACUCCGGUGUUCUUGCCUGGAGAAGCCCAGGGACGGGGGAGCCUGGUGGGCUGCCGUCUAUGGGGUCGCACAGAGUCGGACACGACUGAAGCGACUCAGCAGCAGCAGCAGCUGCCCCUGAGGCCGCUGUCAUAGCAGGAUAGUAAUUAUGGUCAUAAUUCAACACAUGUCUUAGCAUCCAUUGAUGAAUUAUUUUGUCCCCCAAACUGCUGAAUUAUAACACGAGCCCCGGUUUCUUCCACGCCAGAGCCCUUCCAAUGGCGUGGACAUUGGCACUUGUGUCCAGGCUCUUCCUGCUCCCGUGGUUCCUGAAACGUUAAGUAGCCUUGACCCCGCACCCCUUCACGGCACGGACUGCAGUUCUCGGACGUCCCUCUUCACAGAGGCCCCAUACCCUGCCUGCUGGGCUGAAGGUUUAGGCCAACACGCUCAUCCGUUGGACCCACAGUCAGCCACCACCCCACCUCUUUGUGGGGAUCUGUUUAAAGCCACAUCUCUCUCAUUUUGCAUUUUUGAUGGAAACUUGCUUUUGACUUUUUUAAACAGAAGUAAAAUUUUACAUUUUCCUUUGUUUGAUCUUCUAGAUUUGAUCUGCAUAUCCUCUAGUUAAAAUGUAAAGCUUCUCCUCACCAGCUCUCUCUUACACACGGUAGUGUAUUUGUCGAUGCUGAUUUCUCCAUUCGUCACACUCUUUCCUUCCCCCGGUGUCCACAAGUUUGUUCUCUAUAUCUGUGUCUCCAUUCCUUCCCUGCAAAUAAGUUGAUCAAUACCAUUUUUUUUUAGAUUACAGGGAGCCCAGCCUGGUGCUCUAUGACGACCUAGAGAGGUAGGGGAGGGAAGAGAUAUAUGUAUAAUGGCUGAUAUAUGUAUUAUGGCUGAUGUGCCUUGUUAUAUGGCAGAAACCAACAUUUUUUUUCCUCUAAUUAAAAAAAAAACUUUUUUAAUGCAAAGCUCCGCAUCAUUGGCCAGUUGGAGGGGUAUCCAUUUUAUAAAUUGACUGGAAGAAAUUUUGACUUAGUGGAGACCUAGAGCAGAGACCUGUAGCACUCCACUGGUGAUUGUCUUCGAGGCUACCAGCAUCUAACACUCUGGGGCACUUCACAAAACACAAACAACUCACCUUGCAACACAAGUGUCAGUGAUAUGGAUGAAAGGAUGUGUGGUGUGAUACCAUCAGAUGUGUGAUGUGAUCUUAUAGACAGGUAGGGAGCGUAGCAAUAAUUUAGACACUCAGUCAGAAUUCUGGUGGGAGGUGGGUAGCCACCCUCUUUCUCUCCUGUUCUAUUCUUUCUUUCCCCCAUCCUCAGGCAUGAGACGCUUUUGGGAAGGCUAGCUAACUCUUGGGUAGCUGCUAAUUAGAUACUGGGGCUUCCUGGUGGCACUAGUGGUAAGGAAUCCACCUGCCAAAGCAGGAGAUGCAAGAGAUGCAGGUUCGAUCCCUGGGUCGGGAAAAUCCCCUGGAGGAGGAAAUGGCAACCCACUCCAGUACUCUUGCCUGGGAAAGCCCGUGGACAGAGGAGCCUGGCAGGCUACAGUCAACGGGGUCACAAAGAGUUGGACACGACUAAGCACAAAAUUAAAUACUACCAGUAAGUUACCUUAAACUCCUAGAACAUUUGAACUCUUGCUUGUCAAUGAUCCCAGUUUUAGUUGUUUUACAUAGAUAUCCUCAGAGUUUGUGGGCUGGAUGCAUUUGAUCCGCUUCAGAUUUGACUUUCAAGCUGGAGCCACUGAGCCCAGUCUGACAGACCGGAGACUGUCUGUAUGCGGUCCCUUUGAAGUCCCAGAAGUGCCUGCUCAGGGUGAAGGUCUGUGGAGGGAGAGGUGAGACAUAGAGUGAGUGCAGACUGCCACCCAGCAGCACAGAGGGUGACUGCAAACCCCGAGCUUCCCCCGGGGAAAGCGAGUCUCCAGGCUCUGCCUGCUGGCCCUGUGCUCACCGGCUGAGCCCACCACCAGCAAGCAGCUCGGUGGAACGGGGAAGUCACUAGAGAGGGGAUUUUAUUUUCCAAGGGCACAUCCAGAUGAAAGCCUUUCAGGGUCAUUCAAGUACAUUGUUUCCAAGAGAAGACAACUCUUUUGUAACCUCUUCCGGAGCAUCUCCUGUGCGCAGGGAGUCUCGCUGUGCACUCUGUGGUUGGUGAGUGGUAGGGAGAAUCCUCCAAUCACGGGCACCCAGAGGCUGGCUCCUGGAAAGGGGUCCUUAGUGGGCACUGACUUUCAGCCUGUGCUUCUCAGCAUCUCUUGAGAUUUCCACACGUGUCCAACUCUUUGCGACCCCAUGGACUGGAGCCCGCCAGGCAAGAAUACUGGAGUGGGUUGCCAUUCCCUUUUCCAGGGGAUCUUCCCAACCCAGGUAUUGAACCAUGUGUCUCCUGCAUUGGCAGGCAGAUUCUUUACUACUGAGUCACCAAGGAAGCCCCUGAGAUGACCAUAUAGAAUGUCGCUUUUAAUCUACAAGUGUGGGAAAUAGGGACUACGGUUUCCAGCUUUAAUAUAUUUGAAGAAGCUUCAAAAAUAAAACUGUAUUAAAAAGCGUUCAGUGGAAAGCACGUUCCCACCGUGGUCUCUGAUCCGGUUCCCUCCGACGCCCCCUCCACCACCCUAUUCUUAGUUUCUUAUGUAUCUGCCAAGACUUUCUUUAUGCAAAUAUAAAGCACGUAGUUGAAUGAGUCUUUUUCUUUUCUUUCCUAUUUUCCGCAAAAACUAUCACAGUCAUUUUUGACUGUGAAACCACUUUGUGUGUGGAGAGGAUCGGCUUGUGGGUGCCAAGUUCGUGGUCCCGAGGUUAGGGCGGUCAAAUCUCAGGGUUCAAGGGCGACUGGCCCAGCGUCCCUUUCUCCUGGUGUCCUGGCAGUAGGGCCGUGGGCUUGUCCAGGCGUCCAGCUGACAGAUGGACAGGCCUUCACAAUCUAGAAAGUCAUGUGUGCAUGGGCCCCGGUCCCCAGUGAAGCCCCAAGAGGCAGAGGGGUGAGUUGCCAUCGUCAGGAACAGGCGGUUCUAAGACGCAUUCCCGGGGCUGCAUCUGCAUCCCCCAAGGUGAUGGUUCGGAAAGUGGCUGAGGGCCAGGAAGGAGAGACUCGACUCUGACAGGUGGUGCUUCCUGAGGGUCACAGGCCCCCAAAGUCAAUUUGACAGCAAAUUGUAUUUACGAAGCAGACAGAUGAGGAAACGGAGACUGCAGGUUCGAAAGAAUUAUCUCAGAAUUCUUCUGAGCAAGUGUCCCUGCCUAUUGAAAGUCACUGAGUUUUCGGUGGUGAAAGGCGUUUCAAGCAGCCUUGGCUGGCUUUCAGUGAGCACCUUCUCUGGGCCAGUGUCGCACACGCCGUCGUCGCUCCCCAGCUACCUCUUAAGGAUGGUCCCCAUUCCUCGGAGAGGAAGCAGCAGCUGAGUCACACAGCUGACAAGUGGAGGAGCCAGAGUCCCAGGUCAGCUGAUCCCAAGGCCACGCCGGCUUCUCAGUGGACAGCUGAGGUCUCUGAUCUUUCCUAGAUUUUACCUUCAGAGCACCCAGGAACAUAGGGGGCAGAAGGCACCACAAAGCCCAGGCUGGGUGUCAGCUUUGACAAGAGACGAUGGCCCAGCCCUCCUAUCUAACCCUGUUCUUUUUAGAUGCUGGGCUGGCCAGGGAGGCUGGGCUUCGAAGCCCUUCCUCCUGAGGACCUUGGAAAUCAGCAGCAGGAUUUUGAGCUGAAUGGAAUUCUGAGCUUUUUAAUUUGACUCCAUCUCAGUGCAGACUCUGAUGGAAGAGGAAGCAAAUAACAGGAAGGGGACCACUGGGACAGGCGCUGAGAGAGGGUGUCACGUGAAGGUGACAAAGGACCACCAAGGAGCGAGGAGGGUGGCUCGAAACAGAGCCCUGGAGACUUCAGAGGCAGCCUGGCCCUGGAACACCUCGAUCGCGGACUUGUAGCCCUCGGAACUGUGAGAUGAUACGUUUCUGUGGCUUGAGUCCCCUGGUUUCUUUUGAGGCAUUUGGUGACGGCAGGUCUAGGAAAUGAGUACAAAACGGUGGACGUCCUCAAAGAUGCUGCAGGAGGUGCCUCUGAGCAGGUCUCCACCCGCGCCCAGCUCUGAGUGGGUUAACCCUCAAGAAGCAUCUGCCAGCAGUCUAUGAGUGAAUGACUGAUUCAGACAAUCAGGUUUUAUUUAAGCACAUAAGAUGUUUUCACUUUCCCUGAACUGCCGAAAGGCAACUGCUCAAAAAUGGAGUAUGGUCUUUACAUUUGCUCAAAGAAAAAUUUACGAAGGGAAGACAAGGAAAAGCGUGCUUCAUCUUUUCAAGUGAUAGGUUCCGAUGCUCCAUCCCGGAAGUAGGCUAUGGGGUGUGUCCCUAUACGGGGGGCUGUUUGGGUCAGUCACCCCCAAGGGCCCUCGCCUGAGCCACGGGCUCCAUGUAAGCAGGGAACCUCACACGAGAACAAUCGGAACUUUCACGGUUGUUGUUGUUUUCCAGCUUCUUUCCCUUCCGCCCAUGCUCACACUCAUCACGCCACAUUCGCAGAGUGGCGCAGGGGUUCCCUAGGGGCCAGGAAGUCACAUUUUCUGGGGGGACUUUUUCCACAUUUCCUAGUUAUUGAACACGGGUGCCUGUGAGCCUAACAUAAACACGGGUUUGACAAGCAGUUCAGAAAAACAGGAACCAUCAAUUCAUGAGAAUUUAAAGAAAAAAAUAGUUUAAAGAACCGAGAAGUUGCCACAUUAUAGUGAAAGAAAGUCAGGUUUGGGAAAUGACAAAAGUGAGCAAUUUUCACCUCGAAAAGCUGGUGGAAUCAGUUACACAAGAUGUAACCACACACAAACACGGGCAUUUCUUAUCAUAUAAGCGCAUUUACAGUCAAGAAGCUUCUUUCAGAGUAUUUCAUGGAAAGUUAUUUUAGUAGCAAGGGGAGCCUUCAGCAAUGACUAGUUGUCAAGUGAAACCUUGAGUUCAAAGUCAGUAGACAGAGGAGCCCAGACUCAGAACAGAAGGCGACUGGCAGGGUGGGUGCCCACGUGCACAGCCCCGCCUCGGGCACCGUGUGCUCCCUUGUGACCAGGCAGUGGGUACACCAGCUGCCAGGGCCCCCUGCUUGCCACUGUUUGCUACAAGGGCCAGAUUUUAAAUUUUUAAAUGCUUCUUUUAUUAUAAAAUUGAGGGCAUGAUUUAAAACAAAGCAAAAACGGCAUGUAAAAAAAAAAAUAAUGUCCGUUUGGCUUAUUACCUUAAGGUAAUAUCUGAAGAAAAUAUAAAAGCACCAGGUGAAGGCGGCCUGAGGAUGGAGGCGCUGUAUGAGCAUCCCAGGGCAGAAAAGGAGCUCUGCUGGGACCCACAGCAGCUGGACGCCUGUCAGGUCU